CCUACGGGUGGCAGCAGUGAGGAAUAUUGGUCAAUGGGCGCGAGCCUGAACCAGCCAAGUAGCGUGAAGGAUGACUGCCCUACGGGUUGUAAACUUCUUUUAUAAAGGAAUAAAGUGAGGCACGUGUGCCUUUUUGUAUGUACUUUAUGAAUAAGGAUUGGCUAACUCCGUCCCAGCAGCCGCGGUAAUACGGAGGAUCCGAGCGUUAUCCGGUUUUAUGGGGUUUAAAGGGAGCGUAGAUGGGUUGUUAAGUCAGUUGUGAAAGUUUGCGGCUCAACCGUAAAAUUGCAAUUGAUACUGGCAGGCUUGAGUGCAGAUGAGGUAGGCGGAAUUCGUGGUGUAGCGGUGAAAUGCUUAGAUAUCACGAAGAACACCGAUUGCGAAGGCAGCCUACUAAACUGCCACUGACAUUGAUGCUCGAAAGUGUGGGUAUCAAACAGGAUUAGAUACCCGGGUAGUC
rnacentral:rRNA from 1 species